UGCCAAUGAUGUAUUUGAAUUGCAUGUAUUAUCAGAUAUGAUUGUGAUGAUAUCUAAUUGUCACUACCUCUGAGGCA